GUGACUCAGGCACAGAUUGUGACCUUCACCAGGUCCAAGUGAGUUGAUGGGGAGACACAGCAAGGAGCUGGGACAAACAAAGAGCUUCUUCCACAAGGGGUUUCCUAACAGAAAUAGUAAAAAUGUGAACACAUCAUUAAAGAGAGGCUGGCCCAAGGAGGGAAAUGAAUGCAGAAUUCCAGGUCAGAAACAGAGCAGCAGCAGAGAUUGCUGGAAAGUCAGUGUAAGUAUCACCAUCCUUGCCUGCAGGCAAAAAGUGCUGAGAGAAGACAAUAUUCUGAUUCGUGGCAGGGUAAAAGUUCUCCAGCAUUUUCCAGUAGGCUUCUCUGCAAAGCUACCAUGCCUAAAGUGA
rnacentral:lncRNA from 1 species